CCUGGCGUACUCCAACAUCAAACGGAGCCCCGUGCGGAGGGAAGAGAAUCCGGAGCGACAGCACAACAGCUGAUCCCACACUUAACCCCUCGCCCGCCGGCGCCGGGGCAGCCCUCCCUCGCGCCCUCCCACGCUCCGGCCCCUGCGCGCCCGUCCUCCUCCCCGUUGCCAGCAGUUGCUCCCGGCCUGGGGGGUCUGGAAUCUCCCUUUGCCCCCGCUCCGUCCUCCGGCCGCUGCGGAGAGGAGGAGCCACUCCGCCGGCUCUGCGGCCGACCGACCGGAAGGCGCCUCGUCCUGUUUGGCGUUCAGAGAAGCGCCUCUCCUAAGGGAGGCCGGCUUAGUGGCGGGGAUGUCGGUGAUGUAAUGAGGGCAUCUACGCAGAGGCUUCCGCGCUGGGGAAGGCUUCUCUGGCUGCCCAGGGCUUGGAAAUCCAACCAGAGCCUCCAGGAGCGUCUCCUGCUCUCCUGCUGGCCCCCAGACCCCAUCAUACAUCCCAGCCUCCUGCCACAGGCACCUGGUAUUGUGGAUACUUAGAUGGGGGUGGGGGACACGGGCACCGGCCACAAUGCAUCCUCCCCUCCCAGUACCCAGACACACUGGACUUGACGUGUUUCGCUCCCACGGGACAGGCGUGCAUAGAUCCCCACCUCCUUGCCCCAUUCAGCAUGUGGCAGAGGUCUCGGCAGUGCCCGUUUUUCCACCACUGUGACUGCGCACACACCUGCAGCUUCAGCGGCCACACACACCCACUGGCCUACCCCGAGUCCACACUCACCAGAGGCCCCCUGGAUCAGGCUCAGUUUACCAGGAUAAGCCACAGCCACCUGCCUUCCAGCCUCACCUCCAGAUUGCACUGGGCCCAGGAGCAUGUCUGGACACCUGCCUCCAUCAGGCGGCUCAUCACACCCAGCUCCAGAGAGAAAGGACUGAGAAUAGCAGAAUGGAAUGAAAAUAAUACCUCCAGAAAAAGGA